rnacentral:rRNA from 1 species
GACGAACGCUGGCGGCGUGCUUAACACAUGCAAGUCGAACGGAAAGGCCCUGCGUUUGUGGUGUUCUCGAUUGGCGAACGGGUGCGUAACACGUGAGUAACCUGCCCUUGACUUUGGGAUAACUUCAGGAAACUGGGGCUAAUCCCGGAUAGGAGCUCCUGCUGCAUGGUGGGCGUUGGAAAGUCUCGGCGGUUGGGGAUGGACUCGCGGCUUAUCAGUUUGUUGGUGGGGUAGUGGCUUACCAAGGCUUUGACGGGUAGCCGGCCUGAGGGUGACCGGCCACAUUGGGACUGAGAUACGGCGCAGAGUCCUACGGGAGGCAGCAGUGGGGAAUAUUGCACAAUGGGCCGAAGCCUGAUGCAGCAACGCCGCGUGCGGGAUGACGGCCUUCGGGUUGUAAACCGCAUUCGCCUGAGACGAAGCGUGAGUGACGGUAAUGGGUAAAGAGGCACGGGCUAACUACGUG